CGUUAUAUAAAAAGAGGGAGUUUAUGGGUUGUUUUUUACCAAUUUGGGACACAUUUACCCUCCAAUUGGAAACAGUACACACUAAGGGGGCUGGGUUUUAUGUCUUUUCGCCCCUUCUGUCACAUGUGGACCACAAAUGGCCACGUUUUACUCCUGCCUAUUCAUUCUCUCUCUCUCACACAACACAGACACUCUCUCUCUCUCUUCCUCUCACUGCACAGACGUACAGUGGUUCUCUCUCCCUCUCUCCGCCUCUCCUCCUCUCCUCGCCUAGACAACCAGUAGAUCGGCGUAGUUGCAGUCGUGUUGUUUCGGUGAAGCAUGUGAGAUUUAUGGGGCUUUUGUGGGGCUAAUCGUGAACAAUGAGUAAUCAGACAGCGACGGUGUUGAGGACGUCGACGACGCAACUCUUGCUUCAGAG